rnacentral:rRNA from 1 species
UACGGAGGGUGCGAGCGUUGUCCGGAAUCACUGGGCGUAAAGGGCGCGUAGGUGGCGCGGCAAGUCAACGGUGAAAGCUCGACGCUCAACGUCGAGUCGGCCGUCGAUACUGCUGGGCUUGAGCACUGUAGAGGCAGAUGGAAUUCCGGGUGUAGCGGUGGAAUGCGUAGAGAUCCGGAAGAACACCGGUGGCGAAGGCGGUCUGCUGGGCAGUAGCUGACACUGAGGCGCGACAGCGUGGG